AUUGAACGCUGGCGGAAUGCUUUACACAUGCAAGUCGAACGGUAACAGGCCUUCGGGCGCUGACGAGUGGCGAACGGGUGAGUAAUGCAUCGGAACGUGCCCAGAGGUGGGGGAUAACGCAGCGAAAGCUGUGCUAAUACCGCAUAUUAUCUGAGGAUGAAAGCGGGGGACUAAGCAGCAAUGUUUGGCCUCGCGCCUUUGGAGCGGCCGAUGUCAGAUUAGGUAGUUGGUGGGGUAAAGGCCUACCAAGGCGACGAUCCGUAGCGGGUCUGAGAGGAUGAUCCGCCACACUGGGACUGAGACACGGCCCAGACUCCUACGGGAGGCAGCAGUGGGAAUUUUGGACAAUGGAGGAAACUCUGACCCAGCGACGCCGCGUGCGGGAUGAAGGCCUU
rnacentral:rRNA from 1 species